UACGAAGGGUGCAAGCGUUACUCGGAAUUACUGGGCGUAAAGCGUGCGUAGGUGGUUCGUUAAGUCUGAUGUGAAAGCCCUGGGCUCAACCUGGGAACUGCAUUGGAUACUGGCGAUCUGGAGUGCGGUAGAGGGUGGCGGAAUUCCCGGUGUAGCAGUGAAAUGCGUAGAUAUCGGGAGGAACAUCCGUGGCGAAGGCGGCCACCUGGACCAGCACUGACACUGAGGCACGAAAGCGUGGGGAGCAAACAGG
rnacentral:rRNA from 2 species